rnacentral:misc_RNA from 1 species
UGAGUGGUUGGAUGUGGGGGUUUGCUGGCCUUUUGAAAGGUUUUAGCUCUCCUGAAAUGCAUUAGCAGAACAACCCUGUUCAUUGGUGUGAUAACUAUCGACACUAUUGAAUGUAAAGGGCAGUUUGGCUUUCUAACAGUCCUUGGACAACUCAUCAUUAAUGUGACCUCAAAUCAGGUAGGACUACCCGCUGAACUUAA